rfam:Camelus ferus unplaced genomic scaffold scaffold1373, whole genome shotgun sequence.
GAGGGUAUAGCUCAAGUGGUAGAGCACAUGCUUAGCAUGCAUGAGGUCCUGGGUUCAAUUCCCAGUACCUCCU